rnacentral:tRNA from 1 species
GUCCCUGUGGCUCAGUUGGUAGAGCAUGGUGUUUGCAACGCCAGCAUGGUGUGUGCAACGCCAGGGUUGUGGGUUCGAUUCCCACGGUGGGCC